UGGGGAAUUUUGGACAAUGGGGGCAACCCUGAUCCAGCAAUGCCGCGUGUGUGAAGAAGGCCUUCGGGUUGUAAAGCACUUUUGUCCGGGAAGAAAUCCCCUGCCCUAAUACGGCGGGGGGAUGACGGUACCGGAAGAAUAAGCACCGGCUAACUACGUGCCAGCAGCCGCGGUAAUACGUAGGGUGCGAGCGUUAAUCGGAAUUACUGGGCGUAAAGCGUGCGCAGGCGGUGAUGUAAGACCGAUGUGAAAUCCCCGGGCUCAACCUGGGAACUGCAUUGGUGACUGCAUUGCUCGAGUAUGGCAGAGGGGGGUGGAAUUCCACGUGUAGCAGUGAAAUGCGUAGAGAUGUGGAGGAACACCGAUGGCGAAGGCAGCCCCCUGGGCCAAUACUGACGCUCAUGCACGAAAGCGUGGGGAGCAAACAG
rnacentral:rRNA from 1 species